UAGGGAAGUUGUAAAAUGUUACAGUAGCAUAGGAGUUGGCAAAUUACAGCUUGUAGGCCAAACUGUACAGUGUUUUCUUUUUUCCUUACAAACAGAAGCCUAGUGUGGUUCAGGUAUGGGUGACCACUUGCUUAAUAGAUAACUCCUAUUCCCUAGGGAGUGAAUGUUGGUUAGUUCAAAGCAUUUGUAGUGAAUCUGUCCCCCUUGCCACGGAUUGGUUUACACAUGGUACGCAGGAGAGUAAGACAUAAAUGGAAAUCCACUAGAGUGUUACUGUAAGGUUUUUCUAACUCUUAUAAGGAAAAAAAAGGCACUUCACAAGGAUCAUCCCUUUCUAUAUUUGAAUGCGGCAAAUAUGAUGUGGUAUGUGAAGCUAGAGCAGUCCUUGCAAUCAUGAGGGAAGAGCCAAGAGAAUCACACAGAAUCCUUGUAAAUGUUGCACCUUUGAAUUAAUCAAUCUUGAGUUAAUGUGUUCUAGGUUUCUGUUAGGAGAGAUAUAGAAUUCAUUAUACUAAUUAUAAUUUAAGAUACUUUUAUGUGUCUUUACUGAAACAAUCUCAUCACCCCGACCCUCUCCACAAAACUCUUCAGAGAAAGGUAUAAUAGAGAACAAAGUUAAAUAGAUGUCCCAUCCUUCAAAGCAAAGCAUCAAAAUGAGGUCUUCUGCUAAGAAGUCCUGAUUAUGAACAAUAAAAAAGCUGGUUAAAGCUGAGAUUAUUCUUAAUAAGGUUUGAGACCUUAACAACGUCUUUAUGAAAGAUAAUAUUCUUUAUGAACAAGGGGCUAAAGAAAACUCUGAACUUCCUGGGUUCUGAGCUAGUUAAUGCUUUUCUAACUAGCUUGGUACCCUUUACCAUGUAAGAACAAAAAAACACCUAAAGGGCGCUUGAAUCUGCAAAGUAAAUUUACUAUUAGGUAAUCUCAUUGCUAAAAUUUUCCAUCCUACAUCUUUUUCACUAACCAAUUUGCCUCCUCCUCUAUCUUCCACAAGAGAUCUGUUUUACUGGUCUAUGUAACUGUAGUGCUUGCCAUUAUUCAGUAUUUAACUGCUCCUUUGAAGAAACCUUACUUAAAAUGGGGUUUGUCUUUAGCAUGUAGAUAUACCACUUUUGAAAAGCCACUGGUAGUUUACUCUCUUAGAAUUUAACAUAAUUUUUUACUUUUUCAACAGGCUUUGUAAAUUUUUCACAUUUGUAGAGCUUGUUUUAAUUACUAAUUUAUAUUGGAACAGUUCUCUGAUUCUCCAAUAUCAUUACUAUUAUUUUUGCUAUUUGUAUUAGUUUUCUAUUGCAGCUAUUAUAAAUUACAACUUAGCAACUUUAAACAUUACAAAUUUAUACUUACAGUUCUGGAGGUCAGAGUUCCAAAAUCAAGGUGUUGGCAGGGCUGCACUCAUUCUGGGUGCUCUAGGGGAGAAGGUGUUUUCCUAUAUUUUCUAGCUCCUAAAGGCCAUCUGCAUUCCUUGGCUCAUGGUCUCAACCUCCAUCUUCAAAGUCAGCAGUGCAGAGCAUCUUUCCAUCUCUGACUUGUCUCCUUCUAAGGACCCUUGUGAUUACACUAGGCCCACUAGAAGAUAACCUCAGAAGUCGAGAUUCCUAAUCAAUAGUGCUUUUUUGCCAUAAAAGGUUACAUAUUGACAGGUUCUUGGGAUUAGGCCCACCUUUGUGGGCCACUAUUCAGCCUACCACACUGCUUACUAUUCCUUAUGCUGCUGCUACUACUGCUAUUCUUAUUGCCACUCAUUAAAAUUUGAUUGUAUAUCAAGAGCCAGGCACUCUUCCGUGUUACAUUCUUUAUCUCGGCCUAUAAGCCACAUACUCAAAUUGUCUAAAUAACUUUCUUGGACAGGCUUGUGACUAAGCCAUUGCUUUCUGAUAAGUAAAUGACACUAAUUUAUCACAAAAUUAACAAUGGCUCACAAAAUCUGCAUUCUACUCCUUUCUGGCACUGACUUGCAUGUGCCUAUGUUGUUAAUAAUUAUAAAUAAGACUGCAAACUUGUAGCUUAGAAAAUGUAGUCAUAAAUCUAUAAUAAUGGAUAGAAAUUGGCAUUUAGAAAUCCAGCUACAUUUAUGAGUGGUUGGAAUUAAUGCUUAUAGAUACUGGGUUCAAUUAGCUUAGACCACUGAGACUACAGGGAAUAGUUAAUUACACCCAGCUUAGAAACUAGGACUUAAACCCUUGACCAAAAUACUAUAAAACACAUAACCUUCAAGUGAGACCUUUGUCAAAAAAGGUUAAUGCCCCAAAUCUAUCACUGCUGUUCAAAAAAAACUUAUAAACUGAUGUUUGCACAAUAAUUUCAUAUUCUUAUUGAAGAGUACAUUAUCAUGUAGUUUGAGUGGUACCUGUUUAUUGUACUCUUGCCACUCAAAUCUGUUAAAUGAGAUCUUUAAUAUACUGUGAAACACUUUGAAGAGCAGCUCUGAUGUAUCUAACAUGAGGCCCACCAAAUGACAAUUCGGCACCUAAGACUUGCUAAGCAUUAGAAGGGUUAGAGGCUCUUGAACUGGGUUGAACCUAUUAGCUAUCUGAUUUAAGGCUAUUUUAAGAUUGGAUAUAAUUAAGGAGAUGAGCCUAGUUAAAAAAGGAAAUCAUUUAAACAUGAAUAUAGAAAUAGUCUAGCCCAGUGGUGCUAGCCUGUUAAUUAUGAACACCAGUAGCAUACAGGAAUUAUAAUGAGGAACCCAUAAAUCCAUUUAAGCACCAAAUAUAUCUGUAGAUUAAGUAUUUCCCACAUAUCAAACAUAAAUUAUAUUUGUGAUGAGUAAUUCAAGUUCGAUUUUUAAAAAAUCAUUGAGUUCCUGGUAGCUUUUGGUCAUUCUGCAUUCUAUAAACCAUUAAGAGUUACUGUGAGAAUCGAUGAAAUUGACAUGUUUAAAAUGGCUGGGCACUGCUCCCCUAGCUCAAAGAAUUUGGCAAGUGUUCAUGACACACUUCUACCACACAAACACUUCCAUUCAUAUAAGAUUAAAGCUUCAAAAGAGCUGCCAUUUGACAGUUCUGUAUAGGAGUUAAGUCUCCCAAAAGGUAUGUGAAAAAGUGAGUUAAGCAAUAAAAUAAGGCCAACUAAUUAAUGCUGAUGAAAUCUUUCAAUAGCCUUUUACUUUCUAUAAUGAUAGCUUGCCAGUAACUAAGAUUAGAAAGCCAAAGAAGGUAAAAAGCAGUUUAAUUUCUUUAACUUGACUGCAAUAAGAGUACUUAAAUCAAUAAACUAGAUGGGAUUGUUUUUAAGAAUAUUUUUUAUGGAAAGCGUAUCUGGCUUUUAAGUACAUGCUAUAAAAGUUGUAUAGCACUUUACAAAAAAUUUUUGCAUUGUAGGGUUUUAAAGUUAGAAAGUCUCAUUUGUAGUCAUUAAAAAAAAAAGUCAAAACAAGAAAGAUGAGAAAACUAACCAUGUGGAAGGUUAAGUGAUUUGUUCAAGGCUGUAUAGUUACAAUAGAAGAGCUUAAGCUAUUUUUUUUUAAAACCACAUGGUAAUAG